AUUGAACGCUGGCGGCAGGCCUAAUACAUGCAAGUCGAGCGAGCGGCGGACGGGUGCGUAAUGCCUAGGAGUUGCCCAGUCCCGGGGGAUAACAGAUGGCACCGAGUGCCAAUACCGCAUACCACUGGAUUGCCCAGGUGGGAUUAGAGAGUUGGUGAGGUAAUGGCUCACCAAGGUGACGAUCCCUAGCGGGUCUGAGAGGAAGAUCAGCCACACUGGAACUGAGACACGGGCCAUACUCCUACGGGAGGCAGCAGUGGGGAAUAUUGCGCAAUGGGGGAAAGCCUGAUGCAGCAAUGCCGCGUGUGUGAAGAAGGCCUUCGGGUUGUAAAGCACUUUCAGCGGGGAGGCGGUACUCACAGAGGAAGCACCGGCUAACUCCGUGCCAGCAGCCGCGGUAAUUC
rnacentral:rRNA from 1 species